AAUUAUACCGUGAAACUGCGAAUGGCUCAUUAAAUCAGUUAUCGUUUAUUUGAUAGUACCUUACUACUUGGAUACCUGUGGUAAUUCUAGAGCUAAUACAUGCUAAAAACCCCGACUUCGGAAGGGGUGUAUUUAUUAGAUAAAAAACCAAUGCCCUUCGGGGCUCCUUGGUGAUUCAUAAUAACUUCUCAGAUCGCAUGGCCUUGCGCCGGCGACGGUUCAUUCAAAUUUCUGCCCUAUCAACUUUCGAUGGUAAGGUAUUGGCUUACCAUGGUUUCUACGGGUAACGGGGAAUUAGGGUUCGAUUCCGGAGAGUUAGCCUGAGAAACGGCUAACACAUCCAAGGAAGGCAGCAGGCGCGCAAAUUACCCAAUCCUGAUACAGGGAGGUAGUGACAAUAAAUACUGAUGCAGGGCUCUUUAGGGUCUUGUAAUUGGAAUGAGUACAAUUUAAACCUCUUAACGAGGAACAAUUGGAGGGCAAGUCUGGUGCCAGCAGCCGCGGUAAUUCCAGCUCCAAUAGCGUAUAUUAAAGUUGUUGCAGUUAAAAAGCUCGUAGUUGAACCUUUGGCCUGGCUGGCAGGUCCGCCUCACCGCGUGCACUUGUCCGGCCGGGCCUUUUCUUCUGGAGAACCGCAUGCCCUUCACUGGGUGUGUUGGGGACCAGGACUUUUACUUUGAAAAAAUUAGAGUGUUCAAAGCAGGCCUUUGCUCGAAUAUUACAGCAUGGAAUAAUGAAAUAGGACGUGCGGUUCUAUUUUGUUGGUUUCUAGGACCGCCGUAAUGAUUAAUAGGGACAGUCGGGGGCAUCAGUAUUCAAUUGUCAGAGGUGAAAUUCUUGGAUUUAUUGAAGACUAACUACUGCGAAAGCAUUUGCCAAGGAUGUUUUCAUUAAUCAGUGAACGAAAGUUAGGGGAUCGAAGACGAUCAGAUACCGUCGUAGUCUUAACCAUAAACUAUGCC
rnacentral:rRNA from 1 species